rnacentral:tRNA from 15 species
GGCCCCGUAGCUCAGUGGUUAGAGCAGUCGACUCAUAAUCGAUUGGUCGCUGGUUCAAGUCCAGCCAGGGUCACCA